GAUACUGUGGGCUUUCUGACAGGGUAAAGUGUUGAAACAGGGAUGCUCCAGUCCUAGUACACCCAAUAGCCCUCCAUCUUAUUCCACAUUCUGAAAAGAAGGCAUAUAUGUAGGUAAUAUGGGGAAGGGAAGUAAUCUUUUUCCUUAGGUCUGGAAAUUUAUGGGAGCCCUUGUUAACAGUUCUGUGUGGCACUUUUAAGAUUAACUAGUUCAAGUUGCGUUCCUGUACACAUUUAUCAGGAAACAAUGCAUAUGAAAUUCCUUAAUAAACAUACAAAACCUCCAGCCAUAGAUAUAUUUUCUGAUUAUUUUUUAUUAUUUGUUAUCAUACAGAAAUAGGUGUAACUUACAAAUAUCACACUAUUGCAAUUUUUUUGUUGUCUCCUCCCUCGACAUUGCCUAUGGCAACAGCUCUUGACUGUUUUGAAAACUCAGAUCCCACACGCGAAACAUACCAGAAAACUUUGAUGAGUUUUAUUCAUUAUUACAACAAUAUUUGAACAUGGGCAGGAUUAAGAAAUCUCUUUUGGUGCAAAAAUAAUCAGCAAUUAAAUUAAUGUAAAAAUCUUCAAAUGGCCAAAUCGUCUAUAAAGCAUUGUUUCAAAAAUCAGAAAAGCCAGGAAUAAUAUUAUACCUCUGGGCUACAAUCCUGCAUGUAGUUACAGGCUCUUAGUUCCACGGAACUGUAUAGGAAGGGUUCAAGAGCACUGCAUGGCUAUAAAAGAUGACUGGCUAUUUACAUUUCUGACAGUAGGCCAAUGAACAUGAACUUAUCAUGGGCACUUAUCUUCAUAAACUGCUUUUUGAACAUUGGUGUGCAACACUUUUUAGAGGUUAUGUUUGCCUUUAUUAACUAGUUUCACAGGUGGCAGUUCAACACAUUUUUUCAUUGUCAUCAGUGGAUGUACUGGAUUUUACGAAGUAAGACUUAGAAUUGUCAGUCUAUUCCUGCUUUAUGUCCUUGAAUUAUACUCGCCCCCUGCAUGCUGCUAGUUAAUCAUUCUUUCUGCCUAAGUUCUGAACAAGUCGUCUGCCACUCUCUGCCUCUAGUAAAGCAGGUGUGGUGGUGGCUGGUACUAAACCGUUGUCAAACUCCGAAUCCAAACUGGUACAAAGUAGACAAGGAGAGAGCUCUUUAGAGAAGGCAUUGAAACUCACCGUUUAGUGUGUGACAACCACGCACCCAAAAUAAAUACCAUGAUACAGAAUGGUAUGGAAGAGCCCUGUGUGUGGGCUUCAUGCAGGUGCAAAUUUUGACACUUGCAAUAUGGGAAAGGCGAUAGUCCUAAUUGUAAAAGUAGGACAGUAAGUAUGAUGGACUUAAAUCCAGAGGAAUCCACACUGAAAGGAAAGAUGCUAAGCCAGGCCAGCAUAGAAAUGAUUAGCAAGAGCUAUACUUAAUGCUGCAAUCCUACACAGAUGUCACAGGCAUUACAUAAAAAAAAAGAAACCAAGUCAAAAUGUUGAUGAGGAGUUUCUGUAUUAACCCAGCAAGAGCAAUUUAUGUGCAGUGAUAUAGAUUUCUGUAGAAGAACCGCCCUUUCAGCUUGAUUCUUGCAAAUAAAUUUUUAAAAACCCACUGGGAAAGAAAACCUUAGUCUCUCCAUUCAGGCCUGAACGCUUGGUGUAGUUUUGUGAUUCCAUCACACGACCCUCCUCCCAGUUAGCAAGGUUUGUUCCAUGGGGAGAUCUUGAAUGCAGCAAAGUGUGUGCAGCCCCACUGCUGUACACACGGAUCUCUGGAGCACAGAGGCACUCAGGAAUGAGUAUAGCCGAACAAGUGGCAGUUACCCAAGCCCCAAGAUGAGAAGAUGGCAUACCUUCCAGAACUUUAAAGCCCAAAUCCAGGAUGCAAAAUUCCCGUUUUUUAUCAUGAGAUCAUGGCUGCAGUUCCCACCCCCAAAAGUACUUUUUUGGGCACGGCGCCUCAAAGUUCUGCAAGAUCAUGGCAACCAAAAAGAUCGCCGUUAUCUUGCAAAAAAAUGGGAUGUACCUUUCUUCCCAGGAUACUUCCAGGGUAUGAGAUAGACACUCUUAGCCUUGGAGGUUUCUGGUCUUACGCCAUAUAUGUGUAUCUCUUUCCAAAAGGCAGUGGAGCACAUUGGUGAACUUAAUCCUUGAAACUGGGUUUUGGGUGAAAGGUUCAGAACACAAGCAAUACAGAUAUUGUUUGUUAGCUGUAUUCAGAUCUAAUAUCUAUCAGCAGAGAUUAUGAUGUUGACGUCAGUUAAGGCUGCGCACAGGAACAUCUUUAUAUGUAAGAUAUAUACACACUUUUAAAUUCAAUUCAAAUGGUUUUUAAAACAGUGUGGCCUAGUUUUCACAGGCUCAGCAGGAAAUCCUCGAUGCUUUGACACCAUCACCUUUUCUGCCUCAGUGAGCAGAGAAAUUGUUCAGUUCUUCAUACAGUAACAUUUGAAAGAUAGGAGCACAUCACAUUACAAUGUAAAUGAGGUAUUCUGGACAUUGUUGACGAGAAAUAUCCAACACAGACCAUUUCAAAAGCCUGCCAAGUGGGAACAGGAUUCUAGCUGGAAAACAUUUUACAAGAGUACAAUUGCAAAAAAAUCAUAACAUUAGAAAUCGGUUCCUCCCCCUCGCACUACCAAAUUCAAUGUUCAUUACCUGGAGAGUAUUUCAAAAUGGCUUUAAUUAGGUGCACAAAAAGGGCACAGUGGACAAAUUACACAUCCUCUUGUAACAGACGAAGUGAACAAAUGUUAAUUGCUUAUACCAUGCAACAAAUGACUUCUCGCAUGGCAGCAUAUAUUAGGUGCAAAUAGUGUAAUUGCAAAUUAUUGUUUAACAGCACAAAAAUGGGGAGGAAAGAGGAUGAAAUGAAAUGAUAAAAUAUAAGCUACAUCACUCUGAUUGUUUCAAUACAUUCUGCCGGGAGACAAAAUGAUUGAUAGCUAUUCACUAACGAAAUUUUUGUGUAUUUCAUGACAUAACUAGUGAAUUUUGGUUAGAUUCAGUGGGUGAAAUCCCAUACUGGGCAUACUCAGAGUACAUUAAGUUACUUAAGUCCAUUGAUUUCAGUGAAUAUACUCUGAGUAUGAGUUAGCUGGCUCUCACUCAGGGUGCAUGUCUGAAUUAAAGGGACACAGCCAUGAACCAGUAGCUCUAAAAUGUGUGCCGAGCCCCAUUUGCUUUCCUGAACAGGGAAAAUCCCAGUAAACUUUGUUUUGUAUGUAAAAGAAAACAGGCAGCAUCAGUUUGUGGUAGAGCUUGAUGCUGUGGUCAUUGAAGGCCAAUGCUCAGUUAAAACUACAGAAGAAUAUUUGCUUCAGUCCUCCAGUGUAUGAAUUCUAUUUCCACAUGAACCAUCUUAAUAUCUUGGGGGAAAUUACUGUGCUUGUUUCAGUCUCCAAAGAAUGGUGUUUACAUGCGAAUAUAUUCCUUGCAUAAUGCCAGUUUUCUUGUGUGAAUUUGAAACAACUGUAAACUUUUGGACAUAACAAUAACAAAUAAUUCAAAUUCAGUUUAUUCUUUUUAAAGUCUGGAAAUGAAGUGUUUCUGUCCAAAAUCUGAUACAAGUCUCAUAGAGGAGAGUGUUGAUAUUUGCUCUUACAUGGUUCCUUUUCUCGCACGUGGUACUUAAAUGCAAAAGCUUAAUUGCGAGCACAGGUGUGUCUCAUAUAAUAUUUUGUUGUUGUGUGAAUUACUGAUUAGAAUUCCGUAGUAUGAACUAGGAAACUAUAACAACAACUCAGUCCGUUCUCAGCCCGUCCAUGUGCUGAAUAUUAUUAACGAAAGAGACUUAAGUUGCCCGGAGUGGCUGAAGCAAUCCAGUCAGAUGGGCGGCAUAUAAAUAAUAACAUUAUUAUACUACUUUUUUAUUAAGUACAUGCUUAACUCUUCCAUUGACAUGAAUGGGACAAAGAGUGCUUGCUUUGGUUGGGACAUGACCUUACAUGAAGAUAAGGAAUCAAUAUGCAUUUAAAAGCACCAUUCCAUGAUGCAAAGGCCUUUGUAUCCUCUGCAUAUAUGGACUGUUAUGCACAUGAGAAAUAUGUGCAAAGAAUGUGCCACUGAAGUGAAUGGGGAAGCCCCUGAAGGAAAACAAUUCUGUGAGGAUAUCAAGCCUGCAGGGCCUGCAAGGAACAGUUAUCUAGCUAUGUCUUACCCUUUGACCCUAAACACAUAUGUUUUCAAGAAUUGGUGCACUAGACUGACCAUAAGCAAAUCAAACUGCUGAAGUAAAUGUUUUUACACACAUAUAUCACACACAAAUCAAAGGCAAUAUUUUACAUUAUAUCUUAUAAAACUGUACAUUGUAAUAUUCUGUGUUAUGAAAACUACUAUUCAGUUAUGCGAACGACUGGCUUUGUUUAGUAAAUAUAAAUCAGAGGCAAAAAUGACUGUUACAAUUGUUAAUUCGACUCAGAUUGUAUUGUAUAGAUUUUCAAUGGCACUGUAAAAAGAGUUGUCAAAAAUACAUGUAUUUGCCCUCUCCCAUCUAAUGGUGGUAUUGUAACAUCUUGUCAAGCUGUCAAACACAUCAGUUUCAUUUUGUAACUGAAAAGCCCUCAUUACAAUAACAAAAAGAAAAAAGAAAACAUGUAUUAGAGAACAAGCAGAAAAUAAUGUAUUUAUUAUUCUAGGUUGAUGUUUCUUUCAUAUUUAUUAUUUUCUAUCAUAGCACAAUAAAACAUUAAUUGUAAUUAAAUGGAAAACUAUGGGACACAUUGUUCUUCAUUGCUCUGUAGAGCAUCAAUAUCUCUUUUGAGAUAAAAGGUAAUAACUUUUGGUAGCUAGAUGGAAACAUUUGCUCCAGUUCGGCAAGAGCGACUCAUGCACCAGUACUCUGCUGGAUCAUGCCCCAUACGAGUAAGACGAUGUGGUUACCCAGAGAAGAGGGACUGAGCUCAUGCACAAACCAACAAAACUGGCAGUGGUUGGCUCUGCCAUCUUUAGCAAUGCUGACCAUCUGUUUGCGAUGGGCAUUUAGGGAUUGAUUCCCUUCCUGCUCCCUCUAACAAAGGGGAGGGGAACCUGUCACACACUAGAUGUUGCUGGGCUACAGCUCCCAUCAUUCCUGACCUUCGGCCAUGAUGGUUGGGGCUGAUGAGAGCUGUAGAGCCAUAGCAUCUGUAGGGCCACAGGUUUCCCACUUCUCUUCUGAUAGCUAUGUAGCACCAUGUGAGGAUCUGUGGACUAGGGCUUUUGUUAUCUCUAUGGCUACACCAUACAGGAACUGUAGAGGAAUUUAAAUAAGUGACUGUUUACGUCUCAGCAAUCGAGUGCUGCUCCUCUCCUUUUCACGUUUGUCAGAUAUUCACAACACAGUCAAGUCUUAAGCAUAUGGUAAUGAAGUGCAUGGGCAGUGAAACACUUCUAUAUGUUUCAAAAUAACUUGAGAAGUGUUUCUACGUGUUGCUAACAGUUAAGGCAGCUAUACUGAUACAUUAAACACAGCAUAUGGUUCUUAUAUUGCUUUCUACAUCCUAAACAUUACGAAAGAAAAUAAGAGAUUUGAACAUGCUAUGAUUUUCC